GCCACAUUAUUAGCCUGGCGUAAAUGCUAAUGCUUGCUAGCAUGGCGACCAAUGACGACGUAUUAGCAGUGUUUCUGACAUGAAUGAAAUCUCACUGAUUUGAUUUGUCCUCACAACAUCUGAUGUUGAUCAAGAUGUUCCACUGGAAAAUUGGGGAAAUCUUUCUCAAAACAUGACUGAAGUAUCUGCUGUUAAUAGAUUUUGGUGCCGGAUAUCGCCACACACUUUCAGAGAUAACAUUUUGGCCAUCUGUCAACAGAUAAAACUCGCUGAUGUCUGCAGCGGGUUUACUGUUUGAGGAAAAGCACAAAUGUGCUGCGACUGAAAGCUUGACAGAGCAUGAAAAGAAGCUUUAUGUCUGAAGUGCUCCAAGGCUGUCCGAGAGGCACAAGAACCCAUUCAGCCCGGGGGAUCAAGGUCAGCGAUGGGUUCACUACAUCUUAUCAGAUUGAGGCAUCAUCUGAAGACAUCAGUCAAGAAGUUAAUGCUUCAGAGCAACUGGAUUUUCCAAAUGACUAAGAAUACUGCCAAAUUAAUUACACACUGCCCAUCACAAAGCACUGAUAUAUUACUCAUAUAGAAAAGUGUUCUGUCAGGAGGAAUGGGCCAAAAUUUCAGCAAACGUCUAUGUGAAUCGGGUGGAAGCAAAAGAUACAGUUUAGAAAACUAUCAUCAAUAAUGCAAGUAAAAUAUAUCUAAAAUAAAAUACCUCUCAUUAUUUCAA